CCUACGGGAGGCAGCAGUGGGGAAUAUUGCGCAAUGGGCGAAAGCCUGACGCAGCGACGCCGCGUGAGGGAUGAAGGUCUUCGGAUCGUAAACCUCUGUCAGCAGGGAAGAACGGUCACUGUGCUAAUCAGCAGUGAAUUGACGGUACCUGCAAAGGAAGCACCGUCUAACUCCGUGCCAGCAGCCGCGGUAAUACGGAGGGUGCGAGCGUUAAUCGGAAUUACUGGGCGUAAAGCGCUCGUAGGCGGGAUGUAAAGUCAAGGGUGAAAUCCCAGCGCUCAACGUGGGAACUGCCUUUGAAACUGGCAAACUGGAGUGUGGGAGAGGAUGGUGGAAUUCCAGGUGUAGGAGUGAAAUCCGUAGAUAUCUGGAGGAACAUCAGUGGCGAAGGCGACUAUCUGGAACAUAACUGACGCUGAGGAGCGAAAGCGUGGGUAGCAAACAGGAUUAGAUACCCGAGUAGUC
rnacentral:rRNA from 1 species